UUCAUUUUGCCCCGAUAUUUAUCAAUAAUGAUGAAUUUUGCAAGCAAUAACAUUAUUUCUUUUAUUGUUUUAGAUAUUUAUUGAAGCUGAAAAUAAUUGGGGAUUUAGAUCCAUACGCAAUUCAGUCAGAAUUGGAUUUUACAGUAAAGUGCAGUCCAUCAAGUUACUAUUAUAGAUAUUUAUACAUAUCUGGUGGAGUCUCACAGUUGCUACUCUAAGCAGCAGAUGAAAGCAUACAAAAGCCUUCAGGCACAUAAAUAUUUUACAGCUGGAUUUGUUUUGAAUGGAGUAAAAAUUGUUAAUGAUUUCCUGAUUUCCAUAUUAUUGUAGGAAAGGUGAAGCAUUUCCAAAAAUCUAAUGCUAAACGACUAAAUGCUUGGGUGGGGUGAUAGCCAGUUCUGAUGACAUAGCAAAUGCACAUUGUAUGCAUAUGGCCGGUAAUAGUGAAGUCUGCAGCCAUAUUGCAGCAAUCCUAUUUUUAGCUGAGUAUGCCCAGGGCAAGACAGACGAAGAAGAACCCAA